rnacentral:rRNA from 1 species
UACGUAGGGACCAAGCGUUGUCCGGAAUCAUUGGGCGUAAAGCGCGCGUAGGUGGCUUCGUAAGUCCGUUGUGAAAGUCAAAGGCUCAACCUUUGAAAGCCGAUGGAUACUGCGGAGCUAGAGUACGGAAGAGGCGAGUGGAAUUCCUGGUGUAGCGGUGGAAUGCGCAGAUAUCAGGAGGAACACCAAUAGCGAAGGCAGCUCGCUGGGACGUUUACUGACACUAAGGCGCGAAAGCGUGGGGAGCGAACAGG